rnacentral:rRNA from 1 species
UCAGGAUGAACGCUGGCGGCGUGCCUAAUACAUGCAAGUCGAGCGGGAGAAUCAUCCUUCGGGAUGAGGAUCCAGCGGCGAACGGGUGAGUAACACGUGGGCAACCUGCCCGCAAGACCGGGAUAACUCCGGGAAACCGGGGCUAAUACCGGAUAGCCUUUUCCCCGCAUGGGGAAAAGGGGAAAGGCGGCUUCGGCUGUCACUUGCGGAUGGGCCCGCGGCGCAUUAGCUGGUUGGUGAGGUAACGGCUCACCAAGGCGACGAUGCGUAGCCGACCUGAGAGGGUGAUCGGCCACACUGGGACUGAGACACGGCCCAGACUCCUACGGGAGGCAGCAGUAGGGAAUUUUCCGCAAUGGGCGAAAGCCUGACGGAGCAACGCCGCGUGAGUGAGGACGGCCUUCGGGUUGUAAAACUCUGUUCUUGAGGAAGAAUUCCUUCCAGGCGAACAGCCUGGAAGGUUGACGGUACUCAAGGAGAAAGCCCCGGCUAACUACGUGCCAGCAGCAGC